UACGUAGGGUGCAAGCGUUGUCCGGAAUUAUUGGGCGUAAAGAGCUCGUAGGCGGCUUGUCGCGUCGGCUGUGAAAACCUGGGGCUUAACCCUGGGCCUGCAGUGGAUACGGGCAGACUAGAGUGCGGUAGGGGAGAGUUGGAAUUCCUGGUGUAGCGGUGGAAUGCGCAGAUAUCAGGAGGAACACCAAUGGCGAAGGCAGAUCUCUGGGCCGUAACUGACGCUGAGGAGCGAAAGCAUGGGGAGCGAACAGG
rnacentral:rRNA from 1 species